GAUGAACGCUGGCGGCGUGCUUAACACAUGCAAGUCGAACGGUGAAGGCGGAGCUUGAUCUGACGGAACAGUGGAGAACGGGUGAAUAACACGUGAGCAAUCUGCCCCUGACUCUGGGAAAAGCGCUGGAAACGGCGUCUAAUACUGGAUACGAGCUGCGAAGGCAUCUUCAGCAGCUGGAAAGAACUUCGGUCAGGGAUGAGCUCGCGGUCUAUCAGCUUGUUGGUGAGGUACCGGCUCACCAAGGCGUCGACGGGUAGCCGGCCUGGGAGGGUGACCGGCCACACUGGGACUGAGACACGGCCCAGCCUCCUACGGGAGGCAGCAGUGGGGAAUAUUGCACAAUGGGCGAAAGCCUGAGGCAGCAACGCCGCUGGAGGAACGACGGCCUUCGGUUUUUAAACCUCUUUUAGCAGGGAAGAAGCGAAAGUGACGGUACCUGCAGAAAAAGCGCCGGCUAACUACGUG
rnacentral:rRNA from 1 species